AUAAUCAAACUUUACCUUUACGUAGAACUAAAAGAAGCAUUCCAUGCUACUUUCCAACAACGUGUAACAUUUUAAAACAAGUUCACUUACCAAAAGGGAGACAAACUGAAAGAAGUAACACAAAAAUACAAAUGCAAAAUUGCUUUUUUCUAGAAAUGGUCUAAAAUUUUUAUUGUGAGAGAAAGAAUAACAGGGAACACAUUUGUUUGUUUCCUUUGGGACCUAAGACAAACGUAUUGAAUAUUCUGGUACUUUCCCCUCUAGCCACUACUUCCUUCAUUGGACUGCAAGGUAUUUCUGUUUGGAAAAGUAAUGGAGUCCAGUCAACUUCAUUGAUCGCCAAGGACUGUCAAAAUUAUAAAACUUGCUGUGGAGCUCUGACAUGCCAGAAGCCGCUAGAAAAAGAAGUUUGACAUUCAGAAACUUAUCAAGAGGUUCUACUCUUUGGAUAGAGACCAAAAUCAUACUUUGAACCUGGGAGUAGUGAUAUCUUAUCAAAGCCCAAACAGUUCCUCUUCACAACAGACAGAUAAUAGUCCCUUUCAAUUUAUCAUACUGGAAGUCUAAAAGAACCAUGGGAACGACUGGUCAGGUGACAGCUUGAUGGACAGUUUGACACCCCUUAAAGCAUAAAAAAGAAAAGAAAAAAAAGAGAACCACAGCUUUGGACAAAAGUCUAUAGCCAGUGCAUUUGAAAACUCCCCUUGCACCAGGGCUGACUGUAGCUGGGGGAAGACAUUUUACUCAUUUGCUCUUUCCUUUCAUACAGUCAGCUGGUCCCUCUUCUCAGGUGUAGAUCACCUAUUAUAAUUUUACCUAAUUUUGAUACUCUGAUAAGGAAAGUCCCAGGACUUAUCAGCUGGGAUAGGCCUCACUUACAAGACAGCUCUGUUCAGUAUUUGGAAGGUAAAAGCCUGACAGGUUUCUUCGGAAAAGUGGCCAUCCAUGGAAUGAAUGAAAUGUUCUCUUUCUAUUCCAGUACCUCUAGAGACCAUCAAAAAACAAUGGCUCAUAAUGAAAAUGAGAAGAGAUGGAAGCCAAGGAAGGGUGUGUGGAAUCAAGUAGCAGUUCUCAAAACAGCAUAUAUCAAGACCUCAGCACAUAUCAAGACCUCAGCACAUAUCAAGACAGUGGCACAAAAGCAUCGUAGUGUUGUCAUUCACCACUAUGCAGGAGGGAAAGCCAAUUUCAUUUCAGAAUGUCCUCAAUUAAUCUGUAGAAAUUAUUAAUUUUAUUAAAUCCCAACCCUUGA
rnacentral:lncRNA from 10 species